CAGUUCGGAUCGGAGUCUGCAACCCGACUCCGUGAAGCUGGAUUCGCUAGUAAUCGCGCAUCAGCCAUGGCGCGGUGAAUACGUUCCCGGGCCUUGUACACACCGCCCGUCAAGCCAUGGAAGCCGGGGGCGCUUGAAGUGCGUAACCGCGAGGAUCGCCCUAGGGUAAAACUGGUGACUGGGGCUAAGUCGUAACAAGGUAAC
rnacentral:rRNA from 1 species